CAAUAAGUUGGCACAAGAGUUUAAAGUUCAGAGAAGGAAGAGAUAAGCAGAUUUUUUUCAAUGAUUUUAGUUUGACUUUAUAAGAUGUUACAUAACCUUUGUAUUCCUUGAUUAGAAAUGACCAUUACCUGAGUUCAGAUCCAACCUCAGACUCUUAACACUUACUAGCUGUAUGAUGCUGGGCAAGUCAUAACUCCAAUUGCCUCUCAAAAAAAAAAUCAAAAAGAAAAAAAAAUUACUUUUUAGGAUCAAAACUUUUUAGUUCACUGACAAACGAUAGCAUGCUAUGGAUAUGUUGUACUCUAAAGUGUAUGACAAGUCAUUUUUAAAAGUACAGAGCCAGUAGUUAUGGAAUUCUGACUCAUAAGCCUUUGACAUAAGUCCCACAGCCAAUCCAGGUUGAAAUUAUGCUGACAGAGGCCCUGCUUUCGGGGUUUGUCACAUUCCCUAUUGCCUUUAAGAACUCAAUGGGACAUAAGCUCUUCAAACUAACUACAGCCUCUCUUUCCAGACAGUUCACAUUAUCCCCCUUCAGACUCUAAGUUCCAGGCAAGCGAUUGUUUUCCAAGCCUGGUUCUUCAUCUGCCUCCUCUAAGUCUUUGGAUGUCAAAUACAAUCUUUCUUAAAAGCCUUAGAUUCCAAAGAGGCACAAGGUGGCACAGAUAGCCCACCAGCCUUGGAGUUAUAAGGAUCUCAGGUCAAAUAGGGCCUCAGACACUUGACAUUCACUAGCUGUGUGACCCUUGCCAAACUGCUUAAUCCUAAUCACUAAGCUCCCCCAUCCCCACGCCCCCCAAAAAGCCUUAAAUUCCUUCAGUCCUCAAUUCACAUGGGAAUGGGGAAGGGGAUUUUCCUAAUUCCCCCUUCUUGUUAUUACUCUUUCUUUCUUCAAAUUAUAUUAUGUAAUAGCCUUCUAUAGGACAGGGACUUUUCUUGUUCUGUUUUUAUAUCCCCAGAAAUUUAGCAUAAUUAUUUUUUUGAUCCAGAUCUGUGAUCUCACUGGUUAAAAGAACCUCCCAUCAAGGAAACUCUCUCUAUCAGUGUACAUCUGCUCUGCAACUUGUAAUUGCAGAGAAUUGCCUGGACCACAUCACAGGUUAAGUCAUACAACUAGUAUGUUUCAUGAGUGAGACUUGAACCUAGCAUUUGCACAUAGUAGGUGCUCGAAAAAUGCUUCACAAAUGAAUAAGUGACUAUUUCUCUGUCUAAUUUUUCUAGGAUUUCUGAAAGUUCUCCAUUUAUGAGAAGAAUAUGGCAGGUGUAUUGUCCUUAAAUUCUCCUAGGGCAGUCUGAAAGAAGGGAUUUAUGAGGUACUGUAUCUCCAGUCUGUCCCUUUCUUGACAUUUAUUGCCUUUUUGAUGAAUGUGAGAGCAAUUUUUCUGUCAACAACUUCUCAUUAGGAGCCCGGUGAUGUUCUUUCUGACCAUUAUUUUGUUCAGUAUCACAUUUGGUCACUGCAAAUAGGAGAGAUUCUACAUAGAGACUAUCCAUCUCUACAGCUGCAUAAAGUUCAAUAAUCCUGCUUAAAUACUCCCCCUAACAUGCUGACAGCUGCCUUGGAGCACUAACACAGAAUUUAGACAAAUGGCUACUCUUUAAUGAAUAGCUCAUCUUUCUGUAUCCCAUCUCUGUCAUUCUCUUAUAAAUAGAUUUUGGUUUCAAUUCUUUUUUUUUAAAUCAGUUAUAGAGAACUUGGUGAAAUAAUCACUAGGGCUUGCUUUUUGAGGACAGAUAAUAUAUAAGAAUGAUAAGUCUAACAUGAAGAAGGCUUGGGAUGACAAGCCAGAAAUGAAGGUAUAAGGCCUCCUUAAUGGACUGUUUGUUUCCUACUCUAAAUCUACCAUCUUAAAACAAUUAGGAUCUAGGAAAGGCAUUGAGAGGAAACUUAUUGAGCUUUUUUCCACUGGGCUUUUAAGAUUAAGCUCAAGGUUGAUAUUUUUCUCCUCCUGCUUUAUGCUGAAAGAUAAAAAUUAAAGAUUUAAAAGGAGCACAUACAUUAAGUGAGAGAAGACCAAUAUUUGAAUAAAUGACUUAUAGAAUAUAUUAAUGGAGUUAUGUUUUGCUGAGUCAAACUUUAUUGGUAAGAUCCACAAGGAUUUUAUUGUUUUCCUAUGAUAUACACUUAUGAAAACCUCCCAGCAGAAUCAAUAGAAAGAAGUUCAAAAUGGAAAGGAAAAAACAUGGGAUGGUUCUCAAUGAGAAUUGGUUCAAAUCCUGCCAGCUAUAAACUGCCCUACGAGGGUGGUGUAGUGGAUGAAGCCCUGGAUUUAAAGCCAAGAAAACUCGAGUUCCAAUCAGGUGUCAGACUACACAAAGCACUUAACUAUGUUGUGCUUCAGUUCCUUGAGAUAUAAAGUGAAGGAAUUGGACUUGGCCUCUAAGAUUUUUUUCAAUUCUAAAUCGAUCACCCUGUGAAAUAUAGGUCAGACGUUUCCACUAUCCCCACUAUUUGACAUAUUUAAAACUUAACUCUUGGUUCAAAAUGCAUAAGAUGAUUUUCAUUGGUGGAGAUUGAAUUCUCAGAGCUUAAAGGGCUUAAAGUAUUCAUCUGUGUAACAGGUGGAGCUGGUUAAGAGACAAAAUAAAACUGAGUGUCCUGGUUUUCGCUUCUGAGAGAGAAGAUGUGCUAUUUCAUUCUCUCUUCAUCUCCCUGAAAGGAGAUAAAGACUGAGAAGACAAUGAUAUAUAGAGGAGUUGAGAAUCAUUCUCAUGCCUCCAUCCCCAGUUUAUUACACCAGAGAUUUCAGGGGAUUUCCCUUUGAUAAGAUCUCUCUGUCUCUGUCUCUCCCACUCUGUCUCUGUUGUCUCUGUCUCUCUCCAUCUCUCUCUGUCUUUCUCUGCUUCUUUAUCUCUCUUUUUUCCCCUUUUUCUCCGAUUCUCUCUCUCUGUCUUUGUCCCUUUCUGUGUCUCUCUUUUUCUCCCUGUCUCUGUCUCUCUGUAUCUCUAUGUCUCUCUCUGUUUGUCUGUCUGUCUUUCUGUGUAUUUCUUUCUAUCAUUGUCAUCUAAUUCCCUGUGGGAGAAUUCAUUGAAACUUUAUUAUAUGGCAUAUAUUCUCCUAUAUAUGAUUUCUCUCAUUUCUAUUUGCUAUUUGUUUUGAUAAAUUAAUUUACUUAAUGUUUGUUCUAUGUGUUCUGGCAUCUAUAUAUCCACACAAUUGAUAUAUAGUUUGGGAAUCUCUUUUCUCAUUAGGAAAUUAUCAGAAAUUCAACCUCAAAUCUAAAAUUUAAUUCCCCUAGGCUAUAAUUUUUAAAGUAACAGAUAGAUAUAAUCCUAGCCCCAUACUCUGAGGAGAGCAAGAGGCCAGCUCUGCUUCCCUUACUGGUGUUAAAGUCUCUCUUGGAGAAAGAUAGAGGGAAAAGAUUAGAGAAUAUCUAUUCUUAGCUACUUGUGAGCCAUAUCUAAACAGAGCCAUGUGGACGUACAACCUAAAUAGGCAAAACAAACACAUCUUGCUCUCCCAAAACUAAAUAUAUACCUUAUGAUCAUGCUCUUAGUUUUAUUUUGUAUAGAGAUGAUUUUAAAAAUCAUUCAAAUAUCUUUAUUUGAAUUGAAAAAAAAACAGAAAAAUUCUAUUAAAGUCAGUCAAUUAGCAUUUAUGAUGUAACCUAUGAUGAGUUAGACAUUGCUGAUACAAAGAAAGUAUUACCUCCUUCCCCCCCCCAAAAAAAAAAUCAGGGAGCUUACAACUUGCAUUAAUUGUGCACAGAUUUAACAGUAUUUCAAGUAAUGAUUUUUUUCUUAUGUUAACAAAUAUUUUUUGCCUGAUAUCAUUUGAGGGAAUCAGUUCAUAUUUGGGCCAAAUGUAAUAAUCAUCAUUGAGAGGCAUUAUGGAAUAGUAGAAUGAGUGUCCAGUUUUAUGCUCCAGUUUUACUAUAUCUAUAGCUACUGUAUACUAGUAACUGUCAGGAGACUCAAUCCUAUUUCCUGAUCAUACUAAGUUACUUCCCUUACAACAUUAUAACCAGAAUGACUGUUAAAAUUAAAAGUGUAAAUAAAAAAUGCAUCACCCCUUGCAGGAUCUGUUCGUGAUUGGUCUUUUCCCAGAUAUUUGGGACCCACUUAUUCAAGAUUACAUUUGUCUAAGGCUCUAGUUUCCUUUGACCUCCUAUGAGCUCAGAAAUUUAAAGAGUUAUUUAAGGCAAUCUGUGCUCCUGGCAGAGUAGAUCAGCAGCUGAGUGGCCCUAAUAUGCUGAAUCAGAACAGGAGGGCUUUGUCAUAGAAUGACAUGUGAUUUUACUAUAUCCUUUGUUUGAACAUCCAUUUUUUGUGAGUGAGGAAAUUGGGGUUAAGUGACUUGCCCAGGGUCACACAGCUAAAGUAAGUUAUCCCUUCUUUCCUUCAUGAUUGAGGUUAAGUUACUUGCCCAGCUAGGAAGUGUUAAGUGUCUGAGACCAGAUUUGAACUCAGAUCUCCUUGACUUCAAGACCAGUACCCUAUCCACUAUACUAUCUACUUGCCCCUUGAACAUUCAUUUUUAAUGGAUUUCAUAGUAUGGGGAAGUGCCAGAGAGGAGACUGUCUCCCCAAAGUAACUCAGCACUGGCUCUGCACUUUAUUGUGUUAGAGUUGCCUUUGGCCCUGAGAGUUUAAGUGACUGAUCCAGAGUCACAUAGCCAGGAUUUGUGACAAGUGGGACUGCCCCUCUCAAUCAAUAACUAGGUGACUCAUCUAUGUAUAUUAACUAGAUAGUUCUCCAUUAAACCAAACAAUCCAAUCCAAGUACAUCCUGUGAUGACUCAGAUACUACAAAGCAUGCAUUGAGGUACAGUGGGAAAAUCCCUAGAUUUGAAGACAAAGGAACUGGCUUCAAAUCUGUUCUCUCAUUUACUACUGUGUGAUUUGGAGUUUUUUGAAUCUCAAUUUUCUCAUCUGUAAAAUGAGAGGAUCAUACUAUGAGCUUUCUAAGAUUUCUUCCAGAUCUAAAACUAAGAAUAUAUGAUUCGAAAACUAAACACAGUCCAUCAUCAAUUGUCUAUAUGACAAUUAUGAUGUCAUGAUCAACUAUGAUAGACUUAGCUCUUCUCAGUAACACAGUGAUCCAAGACAAUUCCAGGAGACUGGGGAUGCAAAAUGCCAUCCACAUUCUGAGAAAGAACUAUGGAGACUGGACGCAGAACAUAUUAUUUUCAUAAUUUUUUUCUUUCUUGUAGUUUUUCUCUUUUGUUCUGACUUUUCUUUCACAACAUGACUAAUGUAGAAAUGUUUAAUAUGAUUGUACUUGUGUAACCUAUAUCAGAUUACUUGCUGUCUUGGGGAGGAGGAAAGGAGGGAAGAAGAAAAAAUUUGAACUCAAAAACUUACAAAAAGGAAUGUUGAAAACUUUUACAUGUAAUUGGGGAAAAAAUAAAUUACUUAUAAUCAGUCACAGUUGUACCAAGAUAUGUAUAGACUAUUAAUUACUCUGUGCAAAGCUCAAUGUUUUAGAGAAGGGCAGGACAAGGUUUUUAGCUGAGAGCUUUCUGGAUAGGCUUAGUGAGACAUGUGCAAUGACUAAUCAAUCUGGAGUCUGCCCAAGGAAAAACUCCUCUGUUACCACUUUGUAUUUCUUAUCAGUAGCCAGUUCUGUCCUCUCUCUUCUGGAUUCCAAGUCUGCUUUGCUUUCAAGGCAUCUAAGAGAUGCAGUACAUAGAGCACUGGUUUUGGAAUCAGAAUUGUUGUUGAGUUGUAUACAACUCUUCAUGACCCCUUGGGGUUUUCUUGACAAAGACACUGAAGUGGCUUGUCAUUUCCUUCUCCAACUCAUUUUACAGGUGAGGAAACUGAGGCAAAUAGGAUUAAGUGGCUUAUUUAGGGUCACACAACCAGUAAGUAUCUGAGGCCAGAUUUAAAUUCAGGUCCUUUUGACUCCAGGGCCAAUACUCAUGCUCCCUCAAACACAGUCUCAGACAUUUGGGCAAGUCAUUUACUUUCUGUAUGCCCCAGUUUCCUCAGUCAUAAAAUAAGUAAUAACACCUAGCUCCAAAGGUAAAGAUCAAAUGAGGUAAUUGUAAAGCACUUAACACAGUGCCUGACAAUUAGUAGCUAUGUAAGAAAUGUUUUUUUUCCUUCCUUCUGAAAUUCCAUUCUACUUUUGAAAAAUGACCUUGUAUGCUCCAAGUCAUUAUUAAU
ensembl:lncRNA